AAGGGUAUAGCUUAAGUGGUAGAGCACAUGCUUAGAAUGCAUGAAGUCCUGGGUUCAUUCCCCAGUACCUCCA
rnacentral:tRNA from 1 species